UACGUAGGGUGCAGGCGUUAAUCGGAAUUACUGGGCGUAAAGCGUGCGCAGGCGGUUCGCUGUGUCCGAUGUGAAAGCCCCGGGCUUAACCUGGGAAUGGCAUUGGAAACUGGCGGGCUUGAGUGUGGCAGAGGGGGGUGGAACUCCGCGUGUAGCAGUGAAAUGCGUAGAGAUGCGGAGGAACACCGAUGGCGAAGGCAGCCCCCUGGGCUAACACUGACGCUCAGGCACGAAAGCGUGGGGAGCAAACAGG
rnacentral:rRNA from 1 species